CAGCGCUGCACUGCAAUGGUGGAUCGCGAAUGUAGUCGUGAAGAAAAGGACUGCGAAGGGGUGGUACGCUUUAGCCUCGUGAUGCCACGGGGGGCCUGCGGAUCGAUACAUUGAAUGUGUUUGUGAAUGGCACGCAAAAGACUUGUCCCGUUGAAAAGAGGCACUAUUUUAACAGAACAAUGCGCCUUAAAGUUACGGGACAUCUCGACGCUAACCUGGCCUUGACUGCAUAAUCAGAUAUGUUCAGGCUAUCUAUUAAUGGGCGUUCAUUGUUAAAAAAACCUGUAAAGUUACAAGAACAUCCUACGGGACCGCAGCCGCACGAACAUCGUACCUGCCGUGUCCUGCAGCGGACUUCAACGCUUCCGAACCCGUUUCACAAUGGAAUCUUAUUUUGGGGUAUCAUAAGUAGUUAUGUUUAGUGUGACUUAUGUGUCGAGUGCCGUUAUUGUCUGUGAUUGGCAGGAAGUCCACCCUAUAUCCGUUUCACUAAUGCAGCAUUAAAACUUCAAUCGAACUAACUUUUUGCUCGGAACUUGCGCGACGACGCCACUGCGCGAAAGAACACGGCCAGGCGCACGCAGGACUAGUUUCUGUGGCGUUUUCGGAUGUGCUAGCAGCGGCGGCUUCGUCCCGGGUUUCAUCAUUUCCCGCGCUUUUGGCUGCCGCAAGGUUUAACCGUGCAGCGUUGUGGAUUCUCCGGCUCCUGACAAAGGAUUGCACGGUGCGAAUGUACGCCUUCUAUCUGCAGGACUACGGCUGCGUUACCAAAGGCGAAUCGCAGAGCCAGCUUCCUUCCUGUGGCGCAUGACUGCAUGUCUCCACGCGUCGCAAAGGCAGCAGGGGCUCUCCUGCGAGCAAGCGCAACCCGAACGCCAGAUCUCCGGCGGCCACCUGGAAUCGCCAGCU